rnacentral:rRNA from 1 species
AUGCGCACGCCCGAUCCUCUGGACGACACAGAUCAACCCCCGGAUCACAAAAUCAGCUCCGGUCGAAACCCUGCGCAAAAUAUCCCCCAAUUAUCGCCGACAUUCACGGAAAGGACGGAGAUAGCGGCUGUGACGACGCCGAAAUCCAUGCCGCUGCGGCGGGCAAAUUGGGACGCUCGUCGGCGAUGUCGCGUCCGGCGUUGCUCUACCUGGCUCUGCUCGUUGAGGAUGUGCGGGCCGCCGUCCUUGAAGGCAGACGUUCUGGCCAUGGUGAUGGGAGCUGCGUGUGCCGUCGCCCCUGAUGGCAGGCGCGGUGGUCGGGAAACGGUGGCUGCGUGUGAUACGGUGACGGCGGGUCGGGAGACGGCGUCUGCGCGUAAGACGGAGGCUGAGCGGCCUCUGUGUGCUGGAGUUAGCUCCCGCGGCGUGGAGAGGAGCUGCAGCCCGCACAUCGCAAAGGGAUGGAGGCCUCCUUCUCCCAUCCAGUUGCUGAUUUCAUGUGGGAUGUAUGACAUUUUAUAUUAUGAGACACUGGACAUUCCUUUGCCAGAACCGCAAGGUCUGAUAACAUUGAGAGUUGCUUUUCACCAAGUUACACACAAUGAGGUUGAGCUAUCUCAAAGUGAUGCUGAACUUAGCUAUUUCAGGUCAACAAUAACAAGAUAUGGAAGGUACUUGUUGUCUCUGUUGCACCAUGGAAGUUGUAAUUCCUCUAGACUAGAUUUUUACUAUUGA